AGGGUACAGACAGCCUAUGGGAGCCAGCAAGAUCACUGACCUCAGAGCCUGACAUCACAGGCAAUGAGAUGAGGAGAAGGAGGAGCUGAAUCCUGCUCUCACCAAGGAGAGCAGCACCCUGAGUAGAAGGAUGUGUGACACUGCCCUCCCUGACUCUGCCUGGGGACCCACCCUGCUCUGCUGUGUUACUGUCUUUCUCCUGGGAACAAGUUCAGCCAAUCCUGGGGUCAUCCAGUCUCCAAGACACAUAAUCAAAGCAAAGGGAGGAAGGUCCAUUCUGAAAUGUAUUCCCAUCUCUGGACAUAGCAGUGUGGUCUGGUACCAACAGACUUUGGGGCAGGAACUGAGGUUCCUUAUUGAGCAUUAUGAAAAAAUGGAGAGAGAGAAAGGAAACAUGCCCAACCGAUUCUCAGUCGAGCAGUUCGGUGACUAUCGCUCUGAGAUGAACAUGAGUGCCUUGCAGCUGGAGGACUCUGCUGUGUACUUCUGUGCCAGCUCACCACAGCCUUACAGAGUGACAGGCUUUCUGUCCCUUAAUCUUCCUGGGGAUGUACUAGAUAGAGAGGGGUCAUGAGAUUCCACAUAGCCU